GCCUGGAUGGAUCAGUUGGUAGAACACGUGACUUUCAAUCUCAGGAUUGUGAGUUCAAGCCCCACAUUGGGCA
rnacentral:tRNA from 1 species